ACUCCCCGCCUCGGCCCAAAACCACGACUUCUCCUGUUCUCCUUAGGGUCAGGGACUUAGGGUUUGCCGUUUGUGCGCCGCCCGAGUUCUCCUCCAGUUCGGCAGUUCCCCUCUCCUCUCUAGCUCUCUUCCGGAACUCAAGACCUCCCGAGCCCUCUCCUUCAGACCUCCGCCUCCGCCCUCUCCUUCCCCUUGUCGUCGUUGCCGACUACUUCCGCCUCCCCGUAGACGGCGACCACGGCGGCUCGAUGGAUCCUGGGAUUUCUUUGGCUUCCGCCUCCCGUCGCCUUCCCUCUCCCUCUUCUGUUCGAAGUCUUCCGUGCGUGCGAGGUCGGAUCCUCUGCUCUACCGAGACGGCGAUGCAAAGAUUCACCCAAAAGAUUGUGCUGCUGAUCAUGCAUAUGUGAACUGGGCUGCUAAAAUGGCGGUUGGUAUGGGAACAGGUGUCCCCUGGGUGAUGUGCAAGGGGGAGGAUGCCCCAGAUCCAAUGGCAGGAAGACUUGUUCUUUCCUCCCUACAUUUUUUUGUGCCUAUAUGUCUUACAAGCAAAGUUAUAUUGAAGCUAGGGUCCAUUACCUCUGCUGGCUAAUUAAGGUGGUUUCUUGGUCUUGUUCUCCAUGAUCUGAUGGAGGUGUUUUUCUCAUUUAGUUGCUAAUACACCUACUGUGCUCACUAUUGGUUCCACAUGAUAUUAUUUGCUGCACUCGCAGUGAGGCACAUCUAUUUUGUGUAUAUACAGAGAAAUGGGAGACUCAUUAGGCCACUGCAGGGGAACAAUGGGAUAUGAGGUGUCUGGAUUUUUCCUUCUAUUUUUCUUAACCAAGUUCUAAUAUCAUAUGUUUAAUUUUUCUCUCAUCUACAUGUCACCUGACUUUUUUUUUCCUGUGCACCAUUUUACAUCUUGUUAUGUCUUCUGCAGGCAGAGAAAAUAGGGCUUGACUGUAUGGAUGUUGAAGCACUAAAAAAAAUGAACAAAAAUAAGAAGCUGGUCAAAAAGAUUGCUAAGAAGUACCAUGCUUUCCUAGCAUCAGAGGUGAUCAUGUAUAUUGACAUUUGUUCUAUGUGAAGCAGAUAGUAUUUUCGGGCUAUUCCAUAUGUAAUAUGAUUUGACUUGUAUUUCUUGUCUUUGUAAAGAUUAAAUGCUUUUUAAAUAUUGCUGGUACUAGAUGAAUGAACAAAUAACUUGUAUUCCUUAUGUUCAACUUUUUGUAAAGAUUGAAUGCUUUUUUAAUGUCAAUGAUGUUGGGACAAGAUUUUUAUAA